rnacentral:rRNA from 1 species
ACGAUGAACCUCACUUGUGGGGGGAUUAGUGGCGAACGGGUGAGUAACACGUGAGUAACCUGCCCUUGACUCUGGGAUAAGCCUGGGAAACCGGGUCUAAUACUGGAUACGACCUUCUGGCGCAUGCCAUGUUGGUGGAAAGCUUUUGUGGUUUUGGAUGGACUCGCGGCCUAUCAGCUUGUUGGUGGGGUAAUGGCCUACCAAGGCGACGACGGGUAGCCGGCCUGAGAGGGUGACCGGCCACACUGGGACUGAGACACGGCCCAGACUCCUACGGGAGGCAGCAGUGGGGAAUAUUGCACAAUGGGCGCAAGCCUGAUGCAGCGACGCCGCGUGAGGGAUGAAGGCCUUCGGGUUGUAAACCUCUUUCAGUAGGGAAGAAGCCGGCCUUUGGGUUGGUGAC